rnacentral:rRNA from 1 species
AUGAAGCCAUGGAUCGGCCCUCUCCCCAAGGUGAGUUCGUCUGCCAUUACUUUGUCAAAGUUUCUUCCAUCGGAGGUGAGGACGAAGGUCACUAGGAAGAAGAAGAAAAAAAGUGCUCCGGCUGUUGUCCGAUUGUCGACGGUGAACGGCGAUGUUCGUCUGAUCCGGGUGGCCCGACAGGAGUGCUUGAAUAUGUUGUUAGGCCGAGAUGGGCCGGUGAUUUGUGAUUCUGACUUGGGCCUUGUUAGGACUGGGUAUGAGGCCCAGAGACCUAACCAGGUGGCCGAUCGGAGGGAGGAUCUCGACGUGCAUGUUCGCAUCAAAGAGCGAUCCAAUACAUGCAGGAUCGGUUCCAUCGCGGGAAAUUUCCGAGGAGCCUUGAUAACCCACAAGUAUAGGGGAUCGCAACAGUUUUCGAGGGUAGAGUAUUCAACCCAAAUUUAUAGAUUCGACGCAAGGGGAGCAAAAGAAUAUUUGUAA